rnacentral:rRNA from 1 species
CCAACCGUUGGACUGCAGAGGAUACCGCAUGACUAGAGGCGGGAGAGGUGGAUGGUACUCCAUGGGUAGGGUAAAAUCCUUUGAUCCAUGGAAGACCACCAGUGGCGAAGCGGUCCGCUAAACGCGCUCGACGGUGAGGGAUGAAAGCUGGGGGAGCGAACCGGAUUAGAUACCCGGGUAGUCCCAGCUGUAAACGAUGCGAGCUAGUGGUGGAGUGGCCGUGUGCUAUUCCAAUGCCGCAGGAAGCCGUUAAGCUCGCCGCCUGGGGAGUACGGCCGCAAGGCUGAAACUUAAAGGAAUUGGCGGGGGAGCACCACAAGGGGUGAAGCCUGCGGUUUAAUUGGAGUCAACGCCGGGAACCUUACCCAGGGAGACAGCAGAAUGAAAGGUCAGGUCAAAGACCUUACCAGACAAGCUGAGAGGAGGUGCAUGGCCGUCGCCAGACUCGUGCCGUGAGGCGUCCUGUUACGUCAGGCAACGAGCGAGAUCCCUACCGCUAUUGCUACUCCCAUCCGAAAGGAUCGAGAAGCUAGUUAGUGGGACUG